rnacentral:rRNA from 1 species
UACGAAGGACCCGAGCGUUAUCCGGAUUCAUUGGGUUUAAAGGGUGCGUAGGCGGGAUAGUAAGUCAGUGGUGAAAGCCUGCAGCUUAACUGCAGAACUGCCAUUGAUGCUGCUAACCUUGAGUGCAAAUGAUGUGGGCGGAAUAUGACAUGUAGCGGUGAAAUGCUUAGAUAUGUCAUAGAACACCGAUUGCGAAGGCAGCUCACAAAAUUGUAACUGACGCUGAGGCACGAAAGCGUGGGGAUCAAACAGGAUUAGAAACCCUAGUAGUCC